rnacentral:piRNA from 1 species
UCAUCUCUGUGUGAAACUCAGAGGUU